GGCUGCGGCCUGCCCCUCAGCCUCCUCCGCGCGGUUACCCCUGUACCCGCCGCCAUCCGUCCUGGCGCUCCGGAUGAGUCAAUGAGGGGCAGGGCCCGAGGAGUGGUCUUCCCAAGAACCCCUGGUGGCCUCCCAAGGCCGGUGCUGUGUACCUCCUCCCCGACAAAAGGGGAAACUGAGGCCCCGAGGGGAGUGGGAAGAGCCGGCUGGACGUCAGGCCCAGCCGCUGGUGCAGUGGUCCGUCCCCUCUGCCGGGGUGGGCCCCUCGGGUUUCGCGUGUCCUCGGGAAAGAGACUGGCGGGCCUCGUGGGCUGUGCGGCUAUCCUGGAGACAGAUGACAGCUCUCCCUUGGAUGGCUUUGCUGGUUCCGCACCAGCCAGCGCCCCCAUUUUUCCUGCAGCACCCUGAUCUGCACUCCCUGAGGGGCUCCCACUGUCCGCGGUGUGAGGAUGUCCCUGGAUAGUCCACUGUGUGCAGAGGCAUGGGAGUUGUCAUGUUGGGAACAUGCUAGACCUCAGUAUCCUUGAGGGAUGCUGCCUUGGGUCUGGAAACUGUUAGAGGAAACCCCAAGAGGUGCAGGCACUGAGCCUCUCAGGACAAUGACCUGGGGUCCCAGCUCCCCUGGAGGGGCCUCCUCAUGAUUGUUUGGGGGUUGAUCACAGACCAAGAGUGACGAGUGAUGUCACCCUGUGACUCAUGGCUGGACCUUCUUGCCCCUAUUGUCUCAGCACAACAUUAUUCGACUUUUCCCUCAGCGUGGGUGGGCAGAGGAAAAGCCCUGUGGCUCUGGGGACUUGGGAUCCAGAGUUGAAGACCCUUCAGCUGGCUCUGCCCUGCCAGUGCCACAGAGUGCCAUGGCCCAGGAAGACAGGUUUUCUUCCAUCUAGGCCAGGCCAUCCAGUGGCCAUCCUCCGUGUCCUCCCGCCUCCUCCUGGUGUGACUUCUGAAAACCAAGAAUUUGUUCCUGUUGACUUUUUCUGUGCUAUGGACCAUUGUCCUCUCACCCACUCAAUAAAUCUUGAAACAUGC
rnacentral:lncRNA from 1 species